rnacentral:rRNA from 1 species
GCUUCUGUCUGCCGGUCCGCCUUUUUGGUGUGUACUGGUCUUGAUGGAAGCUUACCUCUUGGUGGGUCGGCAUGCCCUUCGUUGGGUGUGUCGAUUAACCAGGACUUUUACUUUGAGAAAAUUAGAGUGUUCAAAGCAGGCUUUCGCCCGAAUACAUUAGCAUGGAAUAAUAGAAUAGGACGCGCGUCUUUAUUUUGUUGGUUUCUAAAUUCGCCGUA